UCCAUAUGUUUGACAGCAAAUCUUUUGUGCCUAUUUGAAGCGCCACUCGCGAGCGUCCAGAGAACUAAUUUUGACGUAUAAUACAAAUGGCUGCGAAGGAACGUACAAUACUCUGAAGUAUUUUUACAUUUUGAAAUAAUUUCCUACGUUUUUCGUGUUAUUUAUACUUCAAGAAUCAACUUUAUAAUGUACACAAUUUUUUUUUAAAUAGUUAACCACCAUCUAUGUUGUCCACUAGGUUGUCAUCACUAGUUUUAGUACACUCUCGCUACAUGGCCAACAGUGCUAAAAUGGCGAAUAUCAAACAGGCACAAAAGCACUUUGACAGCCGCCAGUCCAAUGGUAUAUAGUAGAGGUUACUUCCCAUUCACCUAUUAUAAUAAAACUAAUCAAGAAGAGUUCUUGGCCUGUGCGUCCCCGUAGCGUUAAAAGAAUAGGGACGUCCCAGGCCCAUGGGUGUCGUAAGAGGUGACUAAGUGCUCGAUUUCGAUGUGGAAGAGUCCUACGCGGACGUCAGCACAAACAGGCCAGACUCGACUGGAUUAGCACCACACACACACACACAAAACGGGGCGUGAAGGUUGAAGGAAGUUCGCAUAGGUUGUUCUUGAGAAGAGCAACUGGUUACGAUCUACUGGAGAUUUGCAUAGAAAAUUGUGCACAGUGCAAGAAGAUGCUGGGCGCGUGGUUUGAAGGACCACUAUGCGCUGAAUCCUGCAUCAAGUUCAAAGGAAAGUUGAUUCCUGAAUGCGAAGA